rnacentral:lncRNA from 1 species
ACUGAGCCAAAUGUUUAGUCUUCAGCUGAACUACUGCCAGUGAGCUGCGCUGCAUUCUGGGACCACAGAGCCUCGAGGUACCGUGUUAAACUAUCUCACAUAAGGAUGUGCAGUGAGCUGGACUUCAUAUUCAAUCACCCAAAAGAAAAGUGAAGGAGAAAGCCUACUUUUGCCUGAGCUGGCGUGUUGUGUUGGAUUUGUGAAGUGAGGCAUCUGAAGCAGGCCUUGAAAAACAACCUGAGAACAUGGCUUUGGCAUCGGGGUGAAGUCUGGUCACCUUUGUACAAAUAGGAACAAGUACCAGAUUAAGGGGUAUUUCUGGAAGGUAUCAGGAGUGUCCAUGACCUCACCUCAACUGUGGCCAUCCUCACCUGAUGUUCACAUUAU